rnacentral:rRNA from 1 species
GACGAACGCUGGCGGCGUGCUUAACACAUGCAAGUCGAACGGAAAGGCCCUGCUUUUGUGGGGUGCUCGAGUGGCGAACGGGUGAGUAACACGUGAGUAACCUGCCCCUGACUUUGGGAUAACUUCAGGAAACUGGGGCUAAUACCGGAUAGGAGCUCCUGCUGCAUGGUGGGGGUUGGAAAGUUUCGGCGGUUGGGGAUGGACUCGCGGCUUAUCAGCUUGUUGGUGGGGUAGUGGCUUACCAAGGCUUUGACGGGUAGCCGGCCUGAGAGGGUGACCGGCCACAUUGGGACUGAGAUACGGCCCAGACUCCUACGGGAGGCAGCAGUGGGGAAUAUUGCACAAUGGGCGGAAGCCUGAUGCAGCAACGCCGCGUGCGGGAUGACGGCCUUCGGGUUGUAAACCGCUUUCGCCUGUGUCGAAGCGUGAGUGACGGUAAUGGGUAAAGAAGCACCGGCUAACUACGUG